rnacentral:rRNA from 1 species
GGCCUUCGGGUGCUGACGAGCGGCGGACGGGUGAGGAAUGCAUAGGAAUCUGCCUAUUAGUGGGGGAUAACACGGGGAAACUCGUGCUAAUACCGCAUACGUCCUACGGGAGAAAGCGGGGGAUCUUUGGACCUCGCGCUAAUAGAUGAGCCUAUGCCGGAUUAGCUAGUUGGUAGGGUAAAGGCCUACCAAGGCGACGAUCCGUAGCUGGUCUGAGAGGAUGAUCAGCCACACUGGGACUGAGACACGGCCCAGACUCCUACGGGAGGCAGCAGUGGGGAAUAUUGGACAAUGGGCGCAAGCCUGAUCCAGCCAUGCCGCGUGUGUGAAGAAGGCCUUCGGGUUGUAAAGCACUUUAAGUGGGGAGGAAGGUUAGUGGUUUAAUACGCUACUAAAUUGACGUUACCCACAGAAUAAGCACCGGCUAACUCUGUGCCAGCAGCCGCGGUAAUACAGAGGGUGCAAGCGUUAAUCGGAAUUACUGGGCGUAAAGCGCGCGUAGGUGGUUUUGUAAGUUGAAUGUGAAAUCCCCGGGCUUAACCUGGGAAUGGCAUCCAAAACUGCACGACUAGAGUAUGGGAGAGGGAGGUAGAAUUCCAGGUGUAGCGGUGAAAUGCGUAGAGAUCUGGAGGAAUACCGGUGGCGAAGGCGGCCUCCUGGCCUAAUACUGACACUGAGGUGCGAAAGCGUGGGUAGCAAACAGGAUUAGAUACCCUGGUAGUCCACGCCGUAAACGAUGAGAACUAGCCGUUGGUCUCCUUGAGAGGUUAGUGGCGCAGCUAACGCGAUAAGUUCUCCGCCUGGGGAGUACGGCCGCAAGGUUAAAACUCAAAUGAAUUGACGGGGGCCCGCACAAGCGGUGGAGCAUGUGGUUUAAUUCGACGCAACGCGAAGAACCUUACCUGGUCUUGACAUCCACGGAAUCCUGCAGAGAUGUGGGAGUGCCUUCGGGAACCGUGAGACAGGUGCUGCAUGGCUGUCGUCAGCUCGUGUUGUGAAAUGUUGGGUUAAGUCCCGUAACGAGCGCAACCCUUGUCCUUAGUUGCCAGCGAGUAAUGUCGGGAACUCUAAGGAGACUGCCGGUGACAAACCGGAGGAAGGUGGGGACGACGUCAAGUCAUCAUGGCCCUUACGACCAGGGCUACACACGUGCUACAAUGGCCGGUACAGAGGGUUGCCAAGCCGCGAGGUGGAGCCAAUCCCGAAAAGCCGGUCGUAGUCCGGAUUGCAGUCUGCAACUCGACUGCAUGAAGUCGGAAUCGCUAGUAAUCGCAGAUCAGAAUGCUGCGGUGAAUACGUUCCCGGGCCUUGUACAUACCGCCCGUCACACCAUGGGAGUGGGUUGCACCAGAAGUAGUUAGCUUAACCGCAAGGGGAGCGAUUACCACGGUGUGAUUCAUGACUGGGGUGAAGUCGUAACAAGGUA